GACAGAGGGUGCAAACGUUGUUCGGAAUUACUGGGCGUAAAGCGCGUGUAGGCGGCCCUGCAAGUCGGAUGUGAAAUCCCACGGCUCAACCGUGGAAGUGCAUUCGAAACUGCAGGGCUAGAGUCCUGGAGAGGAAGGUGGAAUGCUUGGUGUAGAGGUGACAUUCGUAGAUAUCAAGCGGAACACCGGUGGCGAAGGCGGCCUUCUGGACAGUGACUGACGCUGAGACGCGAAAGCGUGGGGAGCAAACAGG
rnacentral:rRNA from 1 species